rnacentral:rRNA from 1 species
UAGGGAAUCUUCGGCAAUGGACGAAAGUCUGACCGAGCAACGCCGCGUGAGUGAAGAAGGUUUUCGGAUCGUAAAACUCUGUUGUUAGAGAAGAACAAGGACGUUAGUAACUGAACGUCCCCUGACGGUAUCUAACCAGAAAGCCACGGCUAACUACGUGCCAGCAGCCGCGGUAAUACGUAGGUGGCAAGCGUUGUCCGGAUUUAUUGGGCGUAAAGCGAGCGCAGGCGGUUUCUUAAGUCUGAUGUGAAAGCCCCCGGCUCAACCGGGGAGGGUCAUUGGAAACUGGGAGACUUGAGUGCAGAAGAGGAGAGUGGAAUUCCAUGUGUAGCGGUGAAAUGCGUAGAUAUAUGGAGGAACACCAGUGGCGAAGGCGGCUCUCUGGUCUGUAACUGCCGCUGAGGCUCGAAAGCGUGGGGAGCAAACAGG